UCUAACUACGUGGCUGCAGGCGCGGGAAUACUUUGGAUGCGGAGGUUGUGCUGAAUUAGUGGGAGUGACGCGCGCGCAGGCGGUCCUUUAAGUCGGAUGUGAAAGCCCACGGCUCAACCGUGGAGGGUCAUUGGAAACUGGGGGACUGGAGUGCAGAAGAGGAAAGCGGAAGUCCACGUGUAGCGGUGAAAGGCGUAGAGAUGUGGAGGAACACCAGUGGCGAAGGCGGCUGUCUGGUCUGUAACUGACGCUGAGGCGCGAAAGCGUGGGGAGCAAACAGGAUUAGAUACCCCUGUAGUC
rnacentral:rRNA from 1 species